GGGUAAAAAUAAAUAUAUAUACUUAUAUAUUUAUGAGUAUCUCGGUUAGCGUGAAAGAUAAAAAGGGAAAAAAGAGAGUUCAUCUUCUUCACGCGUGAGGCAGCCGUUGGAGCCUUCUCCCAGUCGAUCGAAGAACCAGCCGCCUCACCUCGCGUCAGCAUCCUGCUCAGCCUCAGCGUUUGACCGCCGGAGGAGCCACCGCCUAUCGCUCAACGUCGCCGAUUCGUCGCUCGAUCACACCGAGCGUUUCACUCGCCCAGCCCGCCACCGUCUCUCUCCCUCUCCCUCACCAUUCGCUCGCCCAGCCGCCAGCCGCCGCCUGCGCCCAGUCCCAAACCCGACGAUGCCACCAUCGAUCUCCGACCAAUGUUGUCGUCGGUACCUUGGUCUUCAUCAGAAUCCUAGAUUUUUUGUUCGUACAGAUGAAUUGGUGUUUGUGACAUUUGGAGAGGAAAUUCGUGAAGAAUGAAUUUCUACAAGGAGGUUGCUCUUGAACCCAUAACAAGAGUGUUGUAACAGUUUGAUUCUCAACCGUAAAAAGGAUCGAGUUUGUUCUUACUCCAAAAAAGGAACACUGUAGCGGUUCGACUCUAAGUCGUGGGAAGAGUCAAGAUUGAAUGAUAUACCCAAGUGGAGCUUGGGAAGUGGAUGUAGGUCAGGUCAUGUUGAACCACUAUAAAAUCACGUGUCAAUUUCUCUAUCCCUCUCCUAAUUUAUUUUUGCAAUCAAUUAUUGUUAUUAUAUUUCAUUGGAAUAAAUUAAUUACAAUUUUUAAUUCUUGAAAUCAUUGUUCAUAUUUGUUUGUUUUGAUUGAUAUUUGUUUGUUUUGAUUGAUAGCUCUUAAAAACUUCUAUCGCCUAUCAAUCUUAUUAUUAUUAUUAAACAAGGUGUUUAAAAGUGUUAGUUUUAGUUUAUUGACUAUUUGAAAUGAAUUUAUUUGUAUAAAAUUCUUGUUUAAAUUACUUAUUAGCACAAAGUGUAUUACUUAGUUUAACUGGCCUAGAUUUAAUAAAAAGUUUUAAUUAGUUUGAAUAAGCUCUAUCCUCCCCUCUAGGGUUGUCAUACCUAUCAUGUGUUUUUUGUGAAACCAAAAAUACAGUUGUGAGGGUAUAAAUUAAACUACUAUAUAAGACGAUUUUCAAAUACAAUGAACUAAUAAUUAAAAUUUUUUAUUUAGAAAAACUUCCAUCAAUCGAGUUUUAUUUGCUUUUGUUUUUUUUUUUUUUUCAAUAUAUGAUACUUGAGUUGGUUAUUAGGGUUAGUUGCUAAAGAUAAUUGAUGGAGUUGAUGAUCCUAAUUGGUCAUCGGAGGUGGUAGGCGUGGAGUUGGACGUCAAAGAUGGUCACUGGAGAUGAUUGUCAGAAGUGGUUAUUGGAGUUUGGCUGUGAUAGGUAGUCAACGAGGUGGAGUAAUUAGAAACAUUCGAGGGAGGGAGAGAAAAAAGAUUUAUUAAUGUUCAAACUUCAACCGUGAAUACUAUUGAUAUUGGUGGAGUUGAGCUACUAUAACACCGACUUGAGAAGUUGAUGGACUGAACAUUGUUGAGUUAAAAACUCAACUCGAUUCAAGUCAAUGUCUCAAACACCCCUUAAUUGUUAGCACUAAGAGCAAUAAAGGGGAAAAAAACCAUAUAUAAUGUUCAAAUUAGAAUCAUUUUAAUGCAUAUAUUGUAGUUUUUAUAAUUUUUGUAUAAUAGAAAUUGAUUUACAUAAAUACAUAAGAAAUAUUGAUGAAAAAUAAGUAAUAUUUUACUUAACAAAAAAGGAAAAUAAUAAUUAGAAAAAAGAAAGGAAAAAAAGAGGCUGGCCCAUAGGCUAUACUAGGAAAAUAAAAAUUCGUAGUUAUCACAUCGGUAAGGAAACCUGUUGGAAUUAGGGACCACAUACUUCUUUUAUACAUUCAAUAACUAAAUUUAAUUUAUAUUAAAAAAAAAGUUAAAAUACCAUUUUUCCUAUUUAAUUUAGGUUAAAAAUUAAUUUUAGUGCCUAAACUUUCAUAAAAGUAUCAAUUUAGUCAACUUUGAUAUGUAUCUCUGUAUUUUUAAUUUUACAAUAAUUUAAUCAUUGAGCUUUCCUAUAUAAUAAUUUAAUCGUUGUAUUUUAAAUUUUGUAAUGAUUUAGUCUCUAUUGUAGAAAUUAGUAUUAAGAUUUAAUGAUUUUUUUUUGCAUAAAUAAGCCGAUAAAUAAAUUAGAGAGUCAAUAUUUUUAUAUAAUACAAAGUCUACGUCAUUAAAAAAAAUAAAGCUUAUAUCUAAUUUUGAUAGUUUUUUUUAUGUUAGGGACUAAUUGUUACAAAUUUGAAAGUAUAAUGACCAAAU